rnacentral:rRNA from 1 species
AAUAGCCCAGAGAAAUUUGGAUUAAUACCCCAUAAUAUAUUUGAUAAGGCAUCUUAUUAAUAUUUAAAAGCUUCGGCACUUGAUGAUGGGUGUGCGGCUGAUUAGAUAGUUGGCGGGGUAACGGCCCACCAAGUCUACGAUCAGUAGCUGAUGUGAGAGCAUGAUCAGCCACACGGGCACUGAGACACGGGCCCGACUCCUACGGGAGGCAGCAGUAAGGAAUAUUGGACAAUGGACGAAAGUCUGAUCCAGCCAUGCCGCGUGAAGGAUUAAGGUCCUCUGGAUUGUAAACUUCUUUAUAUGGGACGAAAAAGGGCAUUCUUGUUCACUUGACGGUACCAUAUGAAUAAGCACCGGCUAACUCCGUG